CCAGCCUGACCUCUACAUCACUGUCUCUGAAGGAGCCUCACUGGAGUUGAGAUGCAACUAUUCCUAUGGGGCAACUGCCUAUUUAUUCUGAUUCAACCCUAGAUUUGUGAAUUGACACCCUAGAUUAUGGUUUUCUGAGCUGCUGUGACAAAUACCUCAGACGGGAUGGCAUGAACAACAGAAUCUGUUUUCUCUCAAUUCUGGAGGUAGAAAUCCAAGAUCAAGGUGUUGGCAGGAAAAAAGGAAAAAAGAGAAAAUGACCACCUUCUUCAUUAGGUUUUGUUCAACUUUCCUAAGUAUUUUUCCUGCCUCUGGGAUCAUAUAGCUUGUAGUUUACACUCCUCUUAGGGUCCUACUAUGUGAUUUAUAUUAUGGAUAUGUGUUUUUGUCCACUCCAGUAGACUAUAAACUAAUGUCACAUCUGCUUUUAAGUAUCCUUAAAACCUAAUAAAUAAUUCACUUGUAGUAAAACUUCAAUACGUGUUUUGGACUUAUUUUGAACUAAUAGAAGGAAUUAAGUGAAGAGUACAAGAUGACAAUUGCCAAAUUGAGAUACUAAUUUCCAAGAAAUGACAUUUUUAAAGUGGCAGUUGGUUCAUUCUUAACCUCCAUUUAAUCUAGGCAGUUAUAUGGUUUUCUGACCAUCUCCGUUUUCUUCAUAGGAAACAUGAAGUGAAUGGGGCUGGGUGUGUGACUACUGAAAAGUUAGUUGGUCCAAAGUGGUCUCUGUUGAUGAUUUCAGUCCACUAGGGAGCCCCUCUAAGAUUUCCAGAAACGAAGACUUUUUCUGAUGGUCUCAAAGGGUGGAACCGAGGAUACAAGAGGGCAUGUGUGUCAGUCAAAUCACAGAUAACAUGGGACUGCAGUGGGGUGGGGGACAGUGUGUGUGUAAAGUUCACCUUAGGUUUUCAGCUCUGACUUUCUAUAUAAAAUCUCAGGAAGCUGGAGUUCAUAGGUCUAUAAAUCCAUUGUUAGAAUGAUUCUCUAAGCAGAGGUGAGGGAUUUAGAGUUUUACUGGGAAUCAAGAGAAUGGACACUCAAUAGAAAACAUCUCUAUUACAUAUUUUUGGUUUUAAAAUUUUUAUGACUAAAAUUCCUGAAAUUCACUGACAUGGAAAUUAUUCCAAAAUACCCCUGAUAUCUGAUUUCUUCAUAUAUCUUCUCUGAGGCUAAAAGGACAAGAAAGGAGAAUAGGAAGAAAAUAAGGACCAAAACCAGAAAGAGAAUAGAGAGGCAAUAUUUAAUUGACCAGCAAUAUGUGUCUGAUGGUAACAGCUGUGUGGGCCUGCAGGGUGUGUGGGGAAACGGCUGGACAGAGUGGGAGAGGUAGAAAUUAAGUCAGGGUGGAUAUCAUACACACAUCCUAUUUUUCUUUUAACUAACCAAACUCUAGUCGGAAACAUUUUCUAUGCAGACAAUCUCCUGAUUUCAAGAAAUUGUAUUUAUUUCUAAAUUCACAAUACAUGCUAUCAAGAAGUUUUCCUUUAUUAAAAUUUUCAUAUAAUUGAAUUCUGCAAUUUUCUGUCAAGCUGUGUAAUAUGGGCUUCCCAUGAUUCUUCAAAGCUCUGCUUUCCCCAGCUGAGACAUGAAUUCCUCUGAGGUGUAUCAUCCUCUUUCUUCACACACUAUCCUACAAAUUUCUCUCAUAUAAUGUACUUUAAGGGGAAAAAACAUCCUAUCUUCACACAUUGGAAAUAUUGCUUCUUCCUCCCUUGCACUAUUCACAUCCACAAUUUUGGAGAGAUUACUGUGCAGUCUCAAGGGUCACAGCUGGUGGAGUUUCCUGUUCAGAUGAAUGACAGAACUCAGGUGUGAUUGGUGCUCAGGGUGUAUGUGCAAACCAUUGACUGGAAGAACAAGUUUGUUUGGACUCAAGCCUUGACCCCAUUCCAGAGCAGGGGUGAAGGCACCCCAGCAACCAGGCAAGGAACCAUAGAGAGGAGACUGGGAGUUCUGCUGGGCCUUUUGUAGGUCCUGGUUUGCAGUGAGUCAGACUGUCCUAGAUGAGGGCUGUGGGCAGUUCCUCUACCGACAGGGAAAGGGAGGGAAGGAAGAGCUGACACAAAGCUCCUGGACUGUCCUACAUCCUCAUGAGUAUUUCUAGGGAUACUUCACAGGUUUGGAAACUGCAUCAGUGAUUCCCUAGUGACAUAAUACAUAUUUGCGUUUCUCUUUCCAAGCAGGAGUGAGGGGAGUGAAGGUGGAGCAGAGUCCUUCAGCCCCAAGUUUCCAGGAGAGAACCAGCUCUACUUUGAGGUGCAGUUUUUCUACCUCUGUGAACAACGUGCAGUGGUUCUGACAGAGACCUGGGGUGGCCUCAUCAAUCUGUUUUUCAUGGCUUCAGGGAUGAAGCACAGUGGGAAGUUAUGGUCAAAAAGGAAUUCUAAGGAGCUCUGUAGUACCCUACACAUCAUAGCCUCCCAACUGAAAGACUUAGGCACGUAAUUCUGUGCAGUGGAGGCACAGUUCUCGCAGGAAAUCUGCAGCCUGGACCCAAAUUGCAGCCGGGCCUGCAGCCCCAACCCUUUCCAGGAGAGACAUGUUGCCCCCACAGUAUCAUUUGCACAGCUUUGAGUUUUCUGAUUGACGUUGCACUUUUACCUCUGCUAAAAUUAGACACUUCAGGAUUGUCAUUUAACUUUUUUGUUCUACCCUUUUACUCUCAGAAAUCUCUUUGGGGGAAAAAGCUUUGAUAUGGAACCAUUGGAGCAACUUAUAAAGAUAUGAGGACCCAAUGUACUGUUAAAACAGAUCCUCUAGCAGAGAGCAUAUAAAUUACUGUGAGAAAAAAGUUUUGAAAAAAUGUAUACUGGUCAACAAAUAGAAAAGAGGUGACUCCGUGUUUCAUCUAAAUGCAGAUUUUUCACUUUUCUAGUAAAAGAGAAGAGAGUAUAUAUGAUGCAUGUUAUAUAUAUAUUUUAAUAUUGGUAUUCAUAUUUUUCACUCCUGGAACCAGUAAAAGAUAAAAUUUUAAAGCACGUAAUGUCGUUGUCAGACAUUCUCUGAAUUUACAUAUGUUAUCUAGGUGCUGACAAUACCUCUUUACUUUACACAUGAAUAAACUGAGGAUUAUAGGGCACACAAGUCUUGCCUGAGCUCGUAUGGUUACUAAACUAGCAAUGAGCCUGGGCUGGGACUCCCACUCUCGAUGUCUGACAGCAGGUUGUGUACUCUAAGCUACACACUACAGGAGACUCUUUAAAAUCACGAAAUAAAAGUUAUUUCAACAGAUAAAUUUGUGCAAUGUCCUCACACACAUCACUGGCAAAUAUUUCCAUUUGGAUAAUUUCUAAAUUGCACCUAGUAAGAAAGAGUUCAUUAAACCUUUCAUUUUGUUACAUUAAAA